rnacentral:rRNA from 1 species
CCUACGGGAGACAGCAGUGGGGAAUAUUGGGCAAUGGGCGCAAGCCUGACCCAGCAACGCCGCGUGAAUGAAGAAGGCUUUCGGGUUGUAAACUUCUUUUCUGAGGGACGAAGGAAGUGACGGUACCACAGGAAUAAGCCACCGCUAACUACGUGACAGCAGCCGCGGUAAUGCGUAGGGGGCAAGCGUUAUCCGGAUUUAUUGGGUGUAAAGGGCGUGUAGGCGGGAGAGCAAGUCAGAUGUGAAAACUCAGGGCUCAACCCUGAGCCUGCAUUGGAAACUGUUAUUCUUGAGUGCUGGAGAGGCAAGCGGAAUUCCGGGUGUAGCGGUGAAAUGCGUAGAUAUACGGAGGAACACCAGUGGCGAAGGCGGAUUGCUGGACAGUAACUGACGCUGAGGCGCGAAAGCGUGGGGAGCAAACAGGAUUAGAUACCCCUGUAGUC